rnacentral:ncRNA from 2 species
UGAAUCCGCGCGGGAGAGCCCUCAGCCGUCCAGGUCCUGCCAGGCCCUGGUAGGACCUAGUAGGUCCUGGAAGAUCCAGACAGGUCCUGGCUGGGGCGCCGAAGGAGCAAGUCCCUCCCUUGAAUCUCUCAGGCCCCGAUACCGCGCGGGCGAG